GCCGGGCGUGGUGGCUCACGCCUGUAAUCCCAGCCCUUUGGGAGGCCGAGGUGGGUGGAUCACCUGAGGUCAGGAGUUCAAGACCAGCCUGGCCAAUAUGGUGAAACCCCAUCUCUA
rnacentral:SRP_RNA from 1 species